GUGAAGUCCAGCCCCCUGGUGCUGCAGGCAAUACAAGAAUAAACAGGGAGUUAUCCAAAGUCCUGAAAUGGCUCAGAGGAAGAACAGCAGGAUAUGGUCCAGAAGAACCACAGUUCAAAUCCCCCAUCGGGCGCUUCCAGAGCGACCACGUCUGGCAGACUGGAUGUCACGGCGUGGACCGUGACAGUACCCCCCCGUCAAGAACGCCCUCCGGGCGUGAACAGGCUCUUCCUGGAAAUGGUACUCUUCAUCAUCAGUAUCACUAAGAUAGUCUUUGUAAUCAAAGUCUACAGACUGGGACUUUAUGGUACCAGUUUCGGGUGCUAUAGGGGAGGCAUUUGCAGCUUUCAAAGCUUUUUCGAAUAUUUCUAGGUCUUGUUUACACACAACUGUGCCAUUUGAGGCAUAGGUGCAGUCAGGAGGCAGAACUGUCUUGGCAAGGCAGGAAGUGGUGAUGGUGCUUGCUUGUACAGAAGUGUUAUCAGGAAGAGGUCCAAAUUUUUCUAGAGCAAGAGGUGAAGUUUCCACAGAGGUACUGGUAACAUUAACGGUAUUGGUUUGGGUACCCUUUUGUGUCACAGGACGGGGACAGUUCUGGCAGUGUCCAGGCUGUCUUGCUGGGAUGACAGGGUAAGUCCAUAUAGCACCAGACAGAAGGGGUCUUGGCCUAGGUGGACGAGUCGGGCAAAGCAAUAUGAAAUGCCCUCUUUUCCCACAGUAUAGACAUAGACCAUGGGCUCUCCUGCGGUCUUUUUCC